rnacentral:rRNA from 1 species
GACGAACGCUGGCGGCGUGCCUAAUACAUGCAAGUAGAACGCUGAAGGAGGAGCUUGCUUCUCUGGAUGAGUUGCGAACGGGUGAGUAACGCGUAGGUAACCUGCCUGGUAGCGGGGGAUAACUAUUGGAAACGAUAGCUAAUACCGCAUAAUAGUAGAUGUUGCAUGACAUUUGCUUAAAAGGUACAAUUGCAUCACUACCAGAUGGACCUGCGUUGUAUUAGCUAGUUGGUGGGGUAACGGCUCACCAAGGCGACGAUACAUAGCCGACCUGAGAGGGUGAUCGGCCACACUGGGACUGAGACACGGCCCAGACUCCUACGGGAGGCAGCAGUAGGGAAUCUUCGGCAAUGGACGGAAGUCUGACCGAGCAACGCCGCGUGAGUGAAGAAGGUUUUCGGAUCGUAAAGCUCUGUUGUAAGAGAAGAACGAGUGUGAGAGUGGAAAGUUCACACUGUGACGGUAUCUUACCAGAAAGGGACGGCUAACUACGUG